GAUGAACGCUAGCGGCAGGCCUAACACAUGCAAGUCGAGGGGCAGCACAUAAAGUGGUUUACUACUUUUGGUGGCGACCGGCGGACGGGUGCGUAACGCGUAUGCAACCUGCCUCCAACAGGGGGAUAACGGAGAGAAAUUUCCACUAAUACCCCAUAAUAUCAGAAUCGGCAUCGGUUUUGGUUGAAAACUCCGGUGGUUGGAGAUGGGCAUGCGUUGUAUUAGAUAGUUGGGGAGGUAACGGCUCACCAAGUCAACGAUACAUAGGGGGAUUGUGAGGUUAGCCCCCCACACUGGUACUGAGACACGGACCAGACUCCUACGGGAGGCAGCAGUGAGGAAUAUUGGUCAAUGGGGGCAACCCUGAACCCGCCAUGCCGCGUGCAGGAAGACGGCUCUAUGAGUUGUAAACUGCUUUUACAAGGGGAUAAAUCGGUGUACGUGUACACCGUUGAAGGUACCUUGGGAAUAAGGAUCGGCUAACUCCGUGCCAGCCGCCGCGGUAA
rnacentral:rRNA from 1 species